rnacentral:rRNA from 1 species
GUUUUUGUUUAGAGCACGUAUUUUGGUGGUGCUGUAGUCCGUCGUGUCGUCGUUCCUCUCCUACCGCCCCUAGGGCCACUAGCUGGACGUCGAGCGGCGGCGCCGCGGCCUCCUCCGGCGCGCCGAUGCCCUGCGCCGGGUCGCGGACCCGACGAAGGCCCACCGUCCGGUGCCGCACGGCGCGCACGAGGUCCUGCUGUACUUCCGGCGGCACGCGCGGGAGAAGCUGGAGGGGCUGCUGCGGUUCGCGGCGUUGCGGCUGCAGUAGAGGCCGUCGCCGAUGCAGCGCGGCUCGCGGUGCUUGGGCGAGAUGCUCCGCAAGCCGGAGAUGCUGCGGCGCAGGGGGCGGCUGCAGCUGCGGAAGACGCGGAGGGAGGUGCGCGGUGGCGUGUAGUCCCUCUGGUAAUCUUCCAUACGCCUCUUCUGCGUGCCCGAUUAGCACCUGCACCGCCGCUUCGACCGGCGCCCGGAGCCGGACCUCCUCGGGCUCCGGCUGGCGUACAAGGUCCUGACCGGCACGGUCAAGGCGUAGUUGUCCAUGUUGAUGUGCGGCCUGUGGCACCCCCUCUGGCCGCACGUCCAGGUGUGCCUGAGGCCGAAGGAGUGGCAAGAGGUCCUCCUGCUGGCGCAGCCGCCGGAGCUCCACCGCCUGGACCUGUGGCCGCUCAAGCGCGGGCACCUGGGCCAGGGCCCGUGGAAGGAGCAGUUGGAGCCGCUGCAGCGGUGCCAUGUCAUGUCAUCCUACGGAGGUAGAAGACCGGAGGGAUGCAGAGGGUGCAAACUGAAGCUGAGAGACAUAGACACACGCGUAGAUCACAUCCGCACCUCGUUGCCCCGCGACGUGUUGCACUCCGUGGCGCACGUCACGCACCGCCGCCACGGCGCGCAGAGGUAGCGCGAGAAGAACGAUCGCGGGUUCCUGCUGCACCAGGCGCGCGGCCUGCGGAAACAGCCGCGGCCGUCGGUGGCGGAGAAGUCUUGAAAGCCGAUGCUGCUGAUGGCGGCCGAGGCCGUCAGGUGGCCCCUCGUACGGCCGCUCCGGGACCGCGCCAACCGGCGCACUAUGUGGUCGAACUCGGCUUAUACCGAUACGGAUUGGUCAAUCCGCGUGUUAAGAUUAGACGUGGCGUGUAACUGGUAUGUGUAGUGUAGUGAGUCAUGUAUACGACAGUUUAGACGUACAGAUGAGAGAACGGGUUCUGGGUGCCACUUCGCGGAACCUUCCCCCACACCUAGAGUGGUUUGGGAGUGUGCUUCGUCCUCGUUGUGCUACGUGCCGCGGCUCCGCCCUGUGUACGGCGUGUAGUUCCGUACUAUCACUCGAGUCUCCUGCGGUCCCCAACGCUGUAAGUGCGCGUGUUACUGGUAAGAGGUUUGUUGCCCUCGUGGCGUUGCCUAGAGACGUUUGUCGGCGUGCUACGGGUAUUCGUUCCGUAGAUGUUGUAAAUGGCACCUCGGUUCGUCCCUACCCUGCUCCUGCUGCUCCUUGGUAAUAGCUCCUCCUUCUAAAGACACGCACUCUUCCAGCUACUGUAAGAGAAACUCAAUCUCGAAGUAUCGAACGAAUUUGCAAACCUCCGCCGAUCGGGACCUAGACCGUUCCGCUAACACCUCCUCCGAGAAUCCUCGUUUCCUUUCUUCUCACUGCGGUGUCUUUUCCGCAGCCGCCGACGAAUUACCUACUAGAAGCGAGAGAACGCAACAGGAAUACCGGACGUAACAGAAACACCUAAACCGCCACGAGCACCAGCGAUCGGUUCAAUGGGAGCAAACCCCACAGAAACGCUACAUCGUCACACCCAAUCUACCAGCAAUGUACAACCUAUACCAACAGCUCACUCAUCGGGUGUACACCAACUAAACAUAGC